UUAUAAAUAAAGAAUUAUUAAUUUUACAAUGAAAAUGUAAGGUUUUAGUUAAACUAUAUAAAAAAGAAAU
rnacentral:tRNA from 1 species